rnacentral:ncRNA from 2 species
ACCUAAUGAAAUACUUUCAUUCGUAUAACUCCAAUAAUAUGGUUUGGAGGUCUCUACCAGGAACCAAUAAUUCCUGAUUACGAAGAAGAUACAUGUGCUG